rnacentral:rRNA from 1 species
UUACCAACCCGAUGCAAACUACGAAUACCAAAGAGUGAUACUCAGGAGACACACGGCGGGUGCUAACGUCCGUCGUGGAGAGGGAAACAACCCAGACCGCCAGCUAAGGUCCCCAAGUCUAUAUUAAGUGGGAAACGAAGUGGGAAGGCUUAGACAGCUAGGAUGUUGGCUUAGAAGCAGCCAUCAUUUAAAGAAAGCGUAAUAGCUCACUAGUCGAGUCGGCCUGCGCGGAAGAUGUAACGGGGCUGAAAUAUAGCACCGAAGCUGCGGCAUCAGGCGUAUCACUAAUACGCCUUACGAUUAACAAGCUAGAAUGGCGCGAAGCGACAUGAAAGGUUGUUCAAGCAACCCGAACGUUGAGUCGGCACAUUUUUGAAGUAAGGAUUAUUAGUGAUACGCCUGUUGGGUAGGGGAGCGUUGUGUAAGCGGAAGAAGGUUCAUCGAGAGGUGGGCUGGACGUAUCACAAGUGCGAAUGCUGACAUAAGUAACGAUAAAACGGGUGAAAAACCCGUUCGCCGGAAGACCAAGGGUUCCUGUCCAACGUUAAUCGGGGCAGGGUGAGUCGGCCCCUAAGGCGAGGCUGAAAAGCGUAGUCGAUGGGAAACAGGUUAAUAUUCCUGUACUUGGUAAAGCUGCGAUGUGGGGACGGAGUAGGUUAGGUUAGCGUGCUGUUGGAUAUGCACGUUUAAGUUGGUAGGUGGGAAGUUUAGGCAAAUCCGGACUUCCUUAACACUGAGAGAUGAUGACGAGGCCCUACGGAGCUGAAGUAACUGAUACCACACUUCCAGGAAAAGCCACUAAGCGACAGGCUUUACUAAACCGUACUGAAAACCGACACAGGUGGUCAGGUAGAGAAUACUCAGGCGCUUGAGAGAACUCGGGUGAAGGAACUAGGCAAAAUAGCACCGUAACUUCGGGAGAAGGUGCGCCGGCGUAGAUUGUAAGGGCUAGCCCCUGAAGGUUGAACCGGUCGAAGAUACCAGCUGGCUGCAACUGUUUAUUAAAAACACAGCACUCUGCAAACACGAAAGUGGACGUAUAGGGUGUGAUGCCUGCCCGGUGCUGGAAGGUUAAUUGAUGGUGUCAUCGAAAGAGAAGCACCUGAUCGAAGCCCCAGUAAACGGCGGCCGUAACUAUAACGGUCCUAAGGUAGCGAAAUUCCUUGUCGGGUAAGUUCCGACCUGCACGAAUGGCAUAAUGAUGGCCAGGCUGUCUCCACCCGAGACUCAGUGAAAUUGAAAUCGCCGUGAAGAUGCGGUGUACCCGCGGCUAGACGGAAAGACCCCGUGAACCUUUACUAUAGCUUGACACUGAACAUUGAAUUUUGAUGUGUAGGAUAGGUGGGAGCCUUUGAAGCAGUGACGCCAGUCAUUGUGGAGGCGACCUUGAAAUACCACCCUUUAACGUUUGAUGUUCUAACGAAGAUGACGAAACGUGGUCUCGGACAGUGUCUGGUGGGUAGUUUGACUGGGGCGGUCUCCUCCCAAAGCGUAACGGAGGAGCACGAAGGUUUGCUAAUCACGGUCGGACAUC